rnacentral:rRNA from 1 species
UACGUAGGGGGCGAGCGUUUGUUCGGAAUUACUGGGCGUAAAGCGCACGUAGGCGGAUCGAUCAGUCAGGGGUGAAAUCCCAGGGCUCAACCCUGGAACUGCCUUUGAUACUGUCGAUCUGGAGUAUGGAAGAGGUGAGUGGAAUUCCGAGUGUAGAGGUGAAAUUCGUAGAUAUUCGGAGGAACACCAGUGGCGAAGGCGGCUCACUGGUCCAUUACUGACGCUGAGGUGCGAAAGCGUGGGGAGCAAACAGGG